AUUGUCCGGCAUACCGUACUGAAGUAGGGAAAUGUGUGAGCCAGCUGCCAAGAAAAGCCGCUAUUGUUUGUACUGUACCCGUACCGUAAACCGACACAGGUAGGUGAGGAGAGAAUCCUAAGGCCGACGGGAGAAGCAUUGUUAAGGAACUCGGCAAAAUGACUCCGUAACUUCGGGAGAAGGAGUGCCAGUGAGAGCUGGCCGCAGAGAAUUGGCCCAAGCAACUGUUUAGCAAAAACACAGGUCUAUGCAAAACCGUAAGGUGAAGUAUAUGGGCUGACGCCUGCCCGGUGCUGGAAGGUUAAGGGGAGAGGUUAGCGCAAGCGAAGCUUUGAACUUAAGCCCCAGUAAACGGCGGCCGUAACUAUAACGGUCCUAAGGUAGCUAAAUUCCUUGUCGGGUAAGUUCCGACCCGCACGAAAGGCGUAAUGAUUUGGGCACUGUCUCAACAAUGCACCCGGUGAAAUUGAAAUACCAGUGAAGAUGCUGGUUACCUGCGCCAGGACGGAAAGACCCCAUGGAGCUUUACUCCAGCUUGAUACUGGGAUUCGAUAUUGUAUGUACAGGAUAGGUGGGAGGCGAAGAAGCAUUGACGCCAGUUGAUGCGGAGCCGCUGUUGGGAUACCACCCUUGCAGUAUUGGAUUUCUAACCAGCAGCCGUGACCCGGCUGGGGGACAAUGUCAGGUGGGGAGUUUGACUGGGGCGGUCGCCUCCGAAAGGGUAUCGGAGGCGCUCAAAGGUUCCCUCAGAAUGGUUGGAAACCAUUCGAAGAGUGCAAAGGCAGAAGGGAGCUUGACUGCGACACCGACGGGUGGAGCAGGUACGAAAGUAGGACUUAGUGAUCCGGUGGUAUAAAGUGGGAUUGCCAUCGCUCAACGGAUAAAAGCUACCCUGGGAUAACAGGCUUAUCACUCCCAAGAGUUCACAUCGACGGAGUGGUUUGGCACCUCGAUGUCGGCUCAUCGCAUCCUGGGGCUGAAGUAGGUCCCAAGGGUUGGGCUGUUCGCCCAUUAAAGCGGUACGCGAGCUGGGUUCAGAACGUCGUGAGACAGUUCGGUCCCUAUCCGGCGUGGGCGUAGGAUAUUUGAGAGGAGCUGGCCUUAGUACGAGAGGACCGGGCUGGACUGACCGCUGGUGUAUCUGUUGUUCCGCCAGGAGCAUGGCAGAGUAGCCAAGUCAGGAAGGGAUAAACGCUGAAGGCAUCUAAGCGUGAAGCCCCCCUCAAGAUGAGAUAUCCCAACGCAAGUUGUAAGACCCCUUGAAGACGACAAGGUAGAUAGGGCAGAGGUGGAAGUGCAGUAAUGCAUGGAGCUGACUGUUACUAAUCGGUCGAGGGCAUAAC
rnacentral:rRNA from 1 species